AAAUUGAAGAGUUUGAUCAUGGCUCAGAUUGAACGCUGGCGGCAGGCCUAACACAUGCAAGUCGAACGGUAACAGGAAGCAGCUUGCUGCUUUGCUGACGAGUGGCGGACGGGUGAGUAAUGUCUGGGAAACUGCCUGAUGGAGGGGGAUAACUACUGGAAACGGUGGCUAAUACCGCAUAACGUCGCAAGACCAAAGAGGGGGACCUUCGGGCCUCUUGCCAUCAGAUGUGCCCAGAUGGGAUUAGCUUGUUGGUGAGGUAACGGCUCACCAAGGCGACGAUCCCUAGCUGGUCUGAGAGGAUGACCAGCCACACUGGAACUGAGACACGGUCCAGACUCCUACGGGAGGCAGCAGUGGGGAAUAUUGCACAAUGGGCGCAAGCCUGAUGCAGCCAUGCCGCGUGUAUGAAGAAGGCCUUCGGGUUGUAAAGUACUUUCAGCGGGGAGGAAGGUGUUGUGGUUAAUAACCACAGCAAUUGACGUUACCCGCAGAAGAAGCACCGGCUAACUCCGUGCCAGCAGCCGCGGUAAUACGGAGGGUGCAAGCGUUAAUCGGAAUUACUGGGCGUAAAGCGCACGCAGGCGGUCUGUCAAGUCGGAUGUGAAAUCCCCGGGCUCAACCUGGGAACUGCAUUCGAAACUGGCAGGCUUGAGUCUUGUAGAGGGGGGUGGAAUUCCAGGUGUAGCGGUGAAAUGCGUAGAGAUCUGGAGGAAUACCGGUGGCGAAGGCGGCCCCCUGGACAAAGACUGACGCUCAGGUGCGAAAGCGUGGGGAGCAAACAGGAUUAGAUACCCUGGUAGUCCACGCCGUAAACGAUGUCUACUUGGAGGUUGUGCCCUUGAGGCGUGGCUUCCGGAGCUAACGCGUUAAGUAGACCGCCUGGGGAGUACGGCCGCAAGGUUAAAACUCAAAUGAAUUGACGGGGGCCCGCACAAGCGGUGGAGCAUGUGGUUUAAUUCGAUGCAACGCGAAGAACCUUACCUGGUCUUGACAUCCACGGAAGUUUUCAGAGAUGAGAAUGUGCCUUCGGGAACCGUGAGACAGGUGCUGCAUGGCUGUCGUCAGCUCGUGUUGUGAAAUGUUGGGUUAAGUCCCGCAACGAGCGCAACCCUUAUCCUUUGUUGCCAGCGAUUAGGUCGGGAACUCAAAGGAGACUGCCAGUGAUAAACUGGAGGAAGGUGGGGAUGACGUCAAGUCAUCAUGGCCCUUACGACCAGGGCUACACACGUGCUACAAUGGCGCAUACAAAGAGAAGCGACCUCGCGAGAGCAAGCGGACCUCAUAAAGUGCGUCGUAGUCCGGAUUGGAGUCUGCAACUCGACUCCAUGAAGUCGGAAUCGCUAGUAAUCGUGGAUCAGAAUGCCACGGUGAAUACGUUCCCGGGCCUUGUACACACCGCCCGUCACACCAUGGGAGUGGGUUGCAAAAGAAGUAGGUAGCUUAACCUUCGGGAGGGCGCUUACCACUUUGUGAUUCAUGACUGGGGUGAAGUCGUAACAAGGUAACCGUAGGGGAACCUGCGGUUGGAUCACCUCCUUACCUGAAAGAA
rnacentral:rRNA from 1 species